GAUGAACGCUGGCGGCGUGCCUAAUACAUGCAAGUCGAACGGAAAGACGAGGCGCUUGCUGCGCGGACGUGAGGGGAGCACGGGAGUGAAACGCGUGGAUAACGUCCCUAUAAGAGUGAGAUAACUUCGGGAAACCGGAGCUAAUACCGGAUAAGAUAUUGAACCGCGGGGGUGGAUAGUGAGAGACGGUUUUGCUGGCACGUAUAGAUGGAUCCGCGCCGCAUUAGCUAGUUGGUAAGGUAACGGGUUAUCAAGGGAACGAUGCGUGACCGAGCUGAGGGAGGGCUCGGCCACCCUGGAGCUUAGACACCCUCCUGGCUCCUGCGGGAGGCACCAGUAGCCAAUCUGCCGCAAUGGGCGAAAGCCUGGCGGAGUAGCGCCGCGUGAGUUAUGAAGGCCCUCCGAUCGUAAAACUCUGUUAUUAGUGAAGAACAACUUUGUAAUUAACUAUGCACGUCUUGACGGUACCUAGUCAGAAAGCCCCGGCUAACUACGUG
rnacentral:rRNA from 1 species